rnacentral:lncRNA from 1 species
AAUGCUUAGCUAAAACAAUGAUGGGGUUUUGAGAUUAAGGUUUCGUAACAAGCAAGUAAUAAGAUUAAUUAAAGAUUUCAGAUGAUUAAAAUGCUAGCCUAGGGUGGUUUGGUCGGGUGUUAAACAAGUGUGAACCAAACAAGUAUUCAAGUUUAAUUAAGAGCAAGUCUAGAACUCGGAUCACUCAAGUAGAACAGUCCACUGUCGUGGUACUGCUCCCUAUGCUGAUCGAUCUUGAUACCUAAACUCUCGUUUGGAUCAAGAUGCGACAGCAAGCAAUAGAGAUCAAGUCCGAUAUGUUCACAAAACACCUUAAUAUCUACUUUCGCUGAUUAGGGAUGCAAUGCUCAUUCAAGUUAUGUCUAGCAACCUAUAACACUUUUGAUGAAUAGAUUAAACCUAGAAUCAUGCACUAAGUGGUUAACUUGAUGCAAGCCUUAAGAACAACAGUGAAUGAAGACAAUCGAUUUAUAACUUAUUUAUGUCAAGCUCACAGAUCUAACACCCUAACACCCUAGACUAAGCAAGCUGACUACUCAGCCAUGGAGCAAGAAAACACAGAGACAGAGAUAUAAAGCAACAUGAAAUAUGACUGAAAUAAAGUAAUAGGGUUCAGGGGGUUCUUCUCUAAAUCGAGAGAGAUGGCCUUCUCCCUUUACAAAGUAGCAAAAUGUCAAGUCUCCAACUCUAAGGUCUGGUUUCUUCUCCCCAAAACAGCGUAGUAUGAUAAAGAGAAACAGAAAAUAUGAUAUAUCAAAGCCACAGGCGGCUGGGAGAAAAAAUAUGGAUAAUUAGGGCAAAUCCCGUAAUGAUUGUAGUUUCCUUAAAAAUCUCUGCCGCUGGAACACUCACUCGGAACAGUCACUCGGGUUGCUCCGCUAUCCGGAACAGUCAUCAAGACUGUUCUGCGUGAAAACCACCAAAUUGCAUUGUUUUCUGCCUCUUUUGUUCCAGCUGGUCCAUCUCCCAUCCAAUGCAACUCCAGACCUGUAAUGACUCCAAAAGGACUAGGAAGACUCGAUAAAGACUUGAAAACUAAUUUAAAAGCAUAUAUACAAGAUGUAUAAAACACCAUAUAUCAAUUCCUCCAGACUUAGAUCCUUGUUUGUCCUCAAACAAUGUCAAGUAUCAAGAACAGGGAGAAAGGUUUGAAAGUGUGGGAACUCUCAUAUUCUCAGCAACCAUACUUUAACCACGAAUCUUUGAACCAUACAAGCAGUAAAACUAGGACAACACACCCUUACCAGAACCCCACUGACUGCUGUUCAAAAAUCGGCUCCAUACUCUUCAUCUCAAACCUGAAAAGCAACACUAUCGAGACAGAACUCCCUACAUUCAUUUAAGAGUAGCGUGAGCUUCUCAUCACAGGCAUCAUUCAGGGUAAACGGUCUAGGUGUGGAACAGGCUAUUUUAUGGUAGAGUUAAGAGUGUUUAGGGGCUACAAUUUCAUUGAAGAGGAUGCAGGAUAUCACACAAAAUGGCAAGAGAGGAUAGAUCCAUUGAUGUCCACAACCUCUACUCGUUUUUGCUCUAUCUGGUGCGACUGUUCUGAUGACGGAAUAGACAACUGAUUGUUCUGCGUUCCACUUUUCUUUUGGUACCCACUCCUUUGCUCUAUCUUCCCAAUGGCUCAUGUUUCUUUGAUAUCAUUCCCUUCUCCAUCACCUUAUUUUGGUUUUUUUUUUUUUUUUUUUUUUUGAAGACUGAUAUGGUGAUGUGACGAAGAAGGAGGUCAUACAUGAUGGUUCUGAGUGCCACUGGUGGUUCUGAUUUCGUAACCAUUCUGGUUCUCCACCCCUGCUCUUGCGCAGUUCAUUAGUUAUGGAGCGGUUGCUCCCUUAAUCUGCUUGUUCUCCUUUCUGACAUAAUUUCUGCAGCAGUAACGAGUAGGAGGCUGCGUUGAUCCUUUCCUCUCCGACCUUUUUGCACAUAUCUGCACAUAUGACACUGAAAAACAAAUGCAUGAAGGUGGAAUAAAGGCUAAGGUGCAGGGUGGGAACUAGCUAAAUAUGAGCUAGCCACUCAGGAUCAGCAAGAUGGAUAAAAAUGAUAAGAAGUCCUGAGUGUGUUCUCGUUUCCCUGAUCUAAUGCCCAUAACAAGAAGAAUUUCAGUCAAGAUUAGGUUCAAGUAAGGUGGAGUUAUGUCUACCCAGUGUAACCUGAUCGGCUGAGAACUUCUGGAGAAUCAAGUGAGAUAUGUCAGGGCGUUCCAGGUCCACAUGUGUGUCUUUCGCCACUGCUAAGGUCACUGAAUAAGAUAACUAAAGCACGAGGUGGUCAGUGAUCAACACGGAAUAAGGUCCUAAUUUCCACAAAGUUUUGACUGACUCAAUCAUAAAAACUGACUCAAACUGACUUAAAAGAAAAACAAAAGAAAGAAACAAGUUAGUAAACGACGAAAACCCUCCCCCAGACUUACUUCACAACGUCCCUGGUGUGAAAAUAAAUCAGAGAGAAGGUGAAAUCAAGAAUAAACAUUUUUUUUUUUGUUCGAGAUACUUACCUGGCGCGGAGCAGCCUGACAGAGCAAGACGCGGUUGCUCCGGUAAAGGAUGCUCUGGAAUGAGAGCAGCCAGCUGCUUGCUCCAGUCAAGGAUCUCGGAUUUUCUGAUUUAUGACCUGAGACUCAACAAACUAAAAACAAAAAUAAGUAAAAAGAAAAUCCUAAUGUUAAUGACACUCACUAGUGGGUUGCCUCCCACCAAGCGCUUGGUUUAAGUCUCUAGCUUGACUUGGUGACUGGGAUCAGUCGGGGUGAGCAGGAGGGCUUGUUCCAAAACAAGCUCCACAAUCAGACAUGUUCAGCUCCAGAACUCUGC